CAAAAGCUAUACGACGUCAAACAAAUACGAAAGGUUGUGCUAACAUAUGUUACAUGUUUGUUUAGUGCUUGCAGCGAGGGAGUUGGUUCUACCGGAUAGUAGUUGUUUGAAGUAUAAAAACUCAAAAUUUGGGGAGUCUUCAAGUUCAGGGCAUAAUUGGGUAGAAGCAGUUGCAGCCAAACGAGAAGGGAUCUUGGCAGGAAGAUGGAGAAACCGAUGAAGAAGGGGAACAAGAAGUCGAUGAAGGGCAGGUGGUGGGUACAUUUGACGUUGUACAG